rnacentral:rRNA from 1 species
GACGAACGCUGGCGGCGUGCUUAACACAUGCAAGUCGAACGCUGAAGACCUGGCUUUUGUUGGGUUGGAUGAGUGGCGAACGGGUGAGUAACACGUGAGUAACCUGCCCUCUUCUUUGGGAUAACGCCCGGAAACGGGUGCUAAUACUGGAUAUUCACUGGCCUUCGCAUGGGGGUUGGUGGAAAGGUUUGUUCUGGUGGGGGAUGGGCUCGCGGCCUAUCAGCUUGUUGGUGGGGUGAUGGCCUACCAAGGCUUUGACGGGUAGCCGGCCUGAGAGGGUGACCGGGCAAAUUGGGAAUGGGAUACGGCCCAGACUACUACGGGAGGCAGCAGUGGGGAAUAUUGCACAAUGGGCGAAAGCCUGAUGCAGCGACGCCGCGUGAGGGAUGGAGGCCUUCGGGUUGUAAACCUCUUUCGCUCAUGGUCAAGCCGCAACUGUGGGUUGUGGUGAGGGUAGUGGGUAAAGAAGCGCCGGCUAACUACGUG